rnacentral:rRNA from 1 species
GACGAACGCUGGCGGCGUGCCUAAUACAUGCAAGUCGAACGCAGGGGGGACGGGUGAGUAACACGUGGGUAACCUCGCAUCAGAGGGGAUAACACUUGGCAACAGGUGCUAAACCGCAACUGGAUGAGGGAGCCGGGGUGGAUUAGCUAGUUGGUGAGGUAACGGCUCACCAAGGCCACGAUGCAUAGCCGGCCUGAGAGGGUGACCGGCCACACCGGAACUGAGACACGGCCCAGACUCCUACGGGAGGCAGCAGUGGGGAAUCUUCGGCAAUGGACGAAAGUCUGACAGAGCAACGCCGCGUGAGUGAAGAAGGUUUUCGGAUCGUAAAACUCUGUUGUUAGAGAAGCGGUAUCUAACCAGAAAGCCACGGCUAACUACGUGCCAGCAGCCGCGGUAAUUC